UUUCCACUGUCAAUAUCUGCCACAGAAGGUGACGUUAUUUUGCUCACGUGUCUGGUGGAUAAUAAUCAGUACCACAAAGUAGAAGUUUUAUGGUUCAAUAGUUCCACACCUACACAGCAUAUAGAUACUGGAAGAGAACUCAAUCUUACUAAUCGCAUUCAAUUAAAGACGAGAAAUCGUUACGAAGAGACAUACUGGUGUAAUGCUACAAACCAAGACGGUACAAGUCGAAGUCAAAAUGUCAGCGUUGUUGUGGUGUCAAAAGAAUACAAAGACUAUUGCUCUGCUGAAAAAGUGGUUAUGAUUGGAAAAGAACUCCUGUUGGGUCAAAUGUUGUUAAGAAAUGUCGUGAUAAAAAGAUAGGAGUUGCUUUUCGGUUGUGUUCAAAGGAUAAUGGACGUGCAGCCUGGGAUAAAGUUGAUGUGUCAAAUUGUAGAUCCCCAAUUGUCGUUGAUCUAGUUGAACAGGUAUCAAGGCUCGAGGAAGGUUUUGCAUCCAUUAACGUCAGCGAGAUUCUAAAAAGAACUGAAGUUGUUACGAAAGACGGUGGGGAAUUGUUUGAACAAGAUAUCAGAGACAUUGUGUCUGUUUUAAAGAGAACCCAAACGAAAACAUCGUUGCCGACUGAUCGAGAGAAAUUCAUUCGGUCUUCAAGUAUAUGUUGGUAGUUCAAAAGAGGUGCCUGGAAAAACUUACAAGAAAGAAACACCUUAGCAAAACAUGUUAUUGAAGGCUCAGACAUGAACGCUAAGAAAUUAGUCGCUGAAACUGGAAAACCUGGAAGAGUACUUAAGUUUAAGACUGAAAAUAUUGAACUACUUGGUAUAAAGCUCCAUAAAAAUAAACCAGCUCAGCCCGAAGAUGUCAAUCUCAUGUCUGAAGACGAAGGCGUUGAGUUUCUUUGGGUUGAUGGUAUAAAGCAAGCGACUGUUGUCAAAUACACUUCAAUCAAAGACAUAUUAUCGCCCGAGGAGCUACAAAAAUCUGUCGACAGCACGAUACAGGCCAGUGGCAAUCUGACUAUACAGAGCACCAUAGUUUCCUUUGCUACAGCCCCAAAACUUCAAUGUUACUCAACACAUCAAAAUUGUCUUGAAAAACAAUCAGAGUGGUUACGUUGAUCCUGGAAGACAGUGUGUAUUUAUUGAACCAAGUGUAAGCGAUAGCAAAUGGAGCCGUGAAGGAUGUAAAUUAAAUGAAUCAAAAUCCUCAAA